CGGGUAGAGUAAUACAUAAGUAACCUGCCCUAGACAGGGGGAUAACUAUUGGAAACGAUAGCUAAGACCGCAUAGGUACGGACACUGCAUGGUGACCGUAUUAAAAGUGCCUCAAAGCACUGGUAGAGGAUGGACUUAUGGCGCAUUAGCUGGUUGGCGGGGUAACGGCCCACCAAGGCGACGAUGCGUAGCCGACCUGAGAGGGUGACCGGCCACACUGGGACUGAGACACGGCCCAGACUCCUACGGGAGGCAGCAUG
rnacentral:rRNA from 1 species